rnacentral:misc_RNA from 1 species
AGUAAAACAGUACGUGAAAUUGUUGAAAGGGAAACGAUUGAAGUCAGUCAUGCCGGCGUUGGAUUCAGCUUGCUUCGCGGAGCGGGCGCAUUUCCUCGCAUGGCAGGUCAGCGUCAGUUUUGCGCGGCGUGAAAAGGCUCGGGUAAGGUAGCUCUCUUCGGGGAGUGUUAUAGACCUGGGCAGAUGCGCUGCGCGGGACUGAGGAUUGCAGCGGACACCUCUUCGGGGGCGCGGCGACCGAACCCUGCUCGGCCACCCGAGUUCGAUAGCGUGCUAACGGACGCGGGAGCGGCAGUGCACCGGAACAGGCAAGCCAGCGGUUCGCUUAGGAUGCUGACGUAAUGGCUUUAAA